rnacentral:rRNA from 1 species
UGUUGCGGUGAAUACGUUCCCGGGUCUUGUACACACCGCCCGUCAAACCAUGAAAGUGACCAACACCCGAAGUCCGAUUCGUCGGCCUAAGGUGGGGGGCAUGAUUGGGUU